AAUGAUGAAGUGGAGCGAACGGAAUAAGAGGGAACAAAAACUGAAGGUCGGUUAUGGCGGCGCCCAUGCACAGCUGCCUGAAAGCGUCUAUUAACGAAACAUCACUGUAAACAUAUAGACGCUUUCAGGCAGCUGUGCAUGGGCGCCGCCAUAACCGACCUUCAGUUUUUGUUUCCUCUUAUUCCGUUCGCUCCACUUCAUCAUUA
rnacentral:pre_miRNA from 1 species